CAUAGGCCUUUCCUGGUUAAAAAUACUUUAUUUAAAAUUUAUAUAUAUAUAUAUAUAUAUAUAUAUAUAUAUAUAAUUUUUUUUUUUUUAAAUAAAGUAUUUUUAACCAGGAAAGGCCUAUG